rnacentral:rRNA from 1 species
AACGAACGCUGGCGGCAGGCCUAACACAUGCAAGUCGAACGCCCGUAGCAAUACGGGAGUGGCAGACGGGUGAGUAACGCGUGGGAACGUGCCCUUCGGUUCGGAAUAACUCAGGGAAACUUGAGCUAAUACCGGAUACGUCCGUAAGGAGAAAGAUUUAUCGCCGAAGGAUCGGCCCGCGUCGGAUUAGCUAGUUGGUGAGGUAAUGGCUCACCAAGGCGACGAUCCGUAGCUGGUCUGAGAGGAUGAUCAGCCACACUGGGACUGCGACACGGGCCAGACUCCUACGGGAGGCAGCAGUAAGGAAUAUUGCGCAAUGGGCGAAAGCCUGACGCAGCGACGCCGCGUGGGGGAGU